AGUUCAGUCUUCCCAGGCCCACCACUUUCAUCGAGUGAGCAUUCGUCUUCUGGUUACGGGGCCAUAGCUCAGCUGGGAGAGCGCGUGCUUUGCAAGCAUGAGGUCGUCGGUUCGAUCCCGUCUGGCUCCACCAGAUGGUUUGAUCACCGAGAUCUUGACCGUCGUCCGCGAAACAUCACUUCGCAUCCUGCUAGUCUGGAUAGACAGCAGUUUGCGUGUUUUCUGACAUCGUAAAGAGGAGAUCGAUCCGAGUUGGGUCGUGCAGCAUAUCGUUGCGCGAGCCUUCAUUAUCUCCGGAUCAUUUCGGCGCUCGCUUCCAGCCGUGAGGUUGGAUGCGGGUUGUAAAUGAUCCUUUUAGCGAAGCUUGACCGCCUCGCUAUCGGAACGAUCUUACGAAGCAAGCUGGUCUUUCUAGUCAAUGUCCGGCUGCGGAUAGCGUUCAUCGAGGGCGCGUGCCGCAAGGCAAUUCUGCAGACAACAUUCUGCCGAGUGUGUGGACAUUGAUAAUGAGAGCAAUCAAGUGCCUUAAGGGUGUUCGGUGGAUGCCUUGGCGCUGAGAGGCGAUGAAGGACGUGCUACGCUGCGAUAAGCCGUGGGGAGCUGCGAAGAAGCUUUGAUCCGCGGAUUUCCGAAG
rnacentral:misc_RNA from 1 species